AGUGAACGCUGGCGGUAGGCCUAACACAUGCAAGUCGAACGGCAGCACAGUAAGAGCUUGCUCUUACGGGUGGCGAGUGGCGGACGGGUGAGGGAUACAUCGGAAUCUACUUUUUCGUGGGGGCUAACGUAGGGACACUUACGCUAAUACCGCAUACGACCUACGGGUGAAAGCAUGGGAUCUUCGGACCUUGCGCGAUCGAAUGAGCCGAUGUCGGAUUAGCUAGUUGGCGGGGUAAAGGCCCACCAAGGCGACGAUCCGUAGCUGGUCUGAGAGGAUGAUCAGUCACACUGGAACUGAGACACGGUCCAGACUCCUACGGGAGGCAGCAGUGGGGAAUAUUGGACAAUGGGCGCAAGCCUGAUCCAGCCAUGCCGCGUGGGUGAAGAAGGUCUUCGGGUUGUAAAGCCCUUUUGUUGGGGAAGAAAAGCAGCAGGUUAAUACCCCGCUGUUCUGACGGUACCAAAAGAAUAAGCACCGGCUAACUUCGUG
rnacentral:rRNA from 1 species